AACAAGACCAACCAAAGCAUAAUGGCUAAGUUUAUGUACGCAUUUGUUCUCAUGCUUGUCAUGACUACUGCAAUCCAAUUUGCACAUGGUGAUGGUGAUGGACAGGUUCGUCCUGGAGAGUGCCCGGCAGCUUGCAAACGUCAUUGCUCAACCGGCAAACCCCAAUGGACUUGUUUCUCUUGUGUUAAUUGUUGUUUCGCAUGUAGGUGUAUCCCAGAUGAUGAAACGGAACCAAGUUCAUGCAGAAAAUGUUGGCAAGAAACAUGUUUUAGUCACUAAGAACCACCUUAAUUAUCUUAGGCUUGUAUUUUCAUAAUGUCUUUAAGAGUUUAUUUGCAAAGUAUGCAAAAAUUAUGUGCGAUAUAAAAAGUACAUUGCGC